rnacentral:rRNA from 1 species
AGUCGAACGCGAAAGUUCCGCAAGGGAUGAGUAGAGUGGCAAACGGGUUUUUAACACGUGGGUGACCUGCCUUCGAGUGGGGGAUAACGUCCCGAAAGGGACGCUAAUACCGCAUAACAUCCUGCCUUUGAAGAGGUGGCGAUCAAAGCCGGGGACCGCAAGGCCUGGCGCUGGAAGAGGGGCCCGCGUCCGGUUAGCUAGUUGGUGGGGUAACGGCUCACCAAGGCGACGAUCGGUAGCCGGCCUAAGAGGGCGGACGGCCACACUGGGACUGAGACACGGCCCAGACUCCUACGGGAGGCAGCAGUGGGGAAUUGUUCGCAAUGGGCGCAAGCCUGACGACGCAACGCCGCGUGGAGGAUGAAGACCUUCGGGUCGUAAACUCCUUUCGAUCGAGACGAAUGGCCUCGAGGUGAACAGCCUGGAGGAAUGACGGUACCGAGAGAAGAAGCCCCGGCUAACUCCGUGCCAGCAGCCGCGGUAAUACGGGGGGGGCAAGCGUUGUUCGGAAUUACUGGGCGUAAAGGGCUCGUAGGCGGCCAACUAAGUCAGACGUGAAAUCCCUCGGCUUAACCGGGGAACUGCGUCUGAUACUGGAUGGCUUGAAUCCGGGAGAGGGAUGCGGAAUUCCAGGUGUAGCGGUGAAAUGCGUAGAUAUCUGGAGGAACACCGGUGGCGAAGGCGGCAUCCUGGACCGGCAUUGACGCUGAGGAGCGAAAGCCAGGGGAGCAAACGGGAUUAGAUACCCCGGUAGUCCUGGCCCUAAACGAUGAAUGCUUGGUGUGGCGGGUAUCGAUCCCUGCCGUGCCGAA